ACAACUUUGUUAGAAGUGCUGGUGAUAGCUUUCUAGGGUUGUUUGUUGUUCCUUGCUUGAUGCUAGAGGCACUUUGCUGGAACUCAGAGUGGCAUCUGUUGCUCUGGAUUCUGCUCUUUUUUUCUCCUCCAAAAUGAGUUCAAGUGUGAAUUAUCUGCAAGUUGUGGGAACUUCUGUUUUGCUUGUGGUAUCCAGAAUGCAAUGCUGAGUCUGGUUAGCCCUGAGGGGAGUGAAACCUGUGGCUGGGUGCUGUGUUACAAAUAACUCCAGACACAGCUCUGCAGAUGGAACGUGCCUUGGCUUUUACUAGUUCCUCGUUGUCCUAGGAAACGAGACAUUAAUACUGAACGUCACAAAAAGAGGAGGGUCAGGUUGGAGGUGCCAUCUUGUCACAGCAAUGUGUGCCAAAGUGACAAAGAUUUGUGUCUUUUUUUCAUUUUGGACAGCUCUCCCACACUGAGGUGAGUUAGUGCAGCCAUGUACCCUUAGAGGAGGCAUCUCUGGAUGUGGAGGUGGGGAAUUACCCAGAAUACAGGGCUGAAUCAGGCUUUUGUCCUAGGCAGCCUUUAUGCAUGUGGCUUAAAAUGGAUUUGUAUGCCAGGCUAGGAGGAAAUUGGGCUGUUCUUCCUGCCUGGGUAACAACAUCCCAUCGUGGUUGAAUAGCUCAGUACUCGUAGGUGUUGCCCUCCCAUGUUUUUGUCAUGUUAAAGUAGCAUGUUAGUGAGUGACUACAGGAAAACAAGAUGCACAUGCAGACUCCUUCUUUAGUGUAUUGGGGAUUGCUUCACACCCGCCGCUUGUAACUCUGUGAGGGAGAAAGGGGCAGCAGAAGGGAGAAGGGUUUUGGCAAACGAGAGGGAAGGAACAGAGCUACUAAAUGACCUGCUUGACCAUCCGUGCCACUGAGAAAGCUCCUCUUCUCACUGCAUGCUUCUUCCUGUGCAGGAGGAGAGGAGCUUUGUCUGUCUGGGGCUGGAGGUGG